GGCAGCGCGGGCUUCGGCCUGGCGGCGAGUGGCGAACGGGUGAGUAAUAUAUCGGAACGUACCCAAGAGUGGGGGAUAACGUAGCGAAAGUUACGCUAAUACCGCAUACGAUCUAAGGAUGAAAGCAGGGGAUCGCAAGACCUUGUGCUCCUGGAGCGGCCGAUAUCUGAUUAGCUAGUUGGUGGGGUAAAGGCCCACCAAGGCAACGAUCAGUAGCUGGUCUGAGAGGACGACCAGCCACACUGGAACUGAGACACGGUCCAGACUCCUACGGGAGGCAGCAGUGGGGAAUUUUGGACAAUGGGGGCAACCCUGAUCCAGCAAUGCCGCGUGAGUGAAGAAGGCCUUCGGGUUGUAAAGCUCUUUUGUCAGGGAAGAAAAGGUCGUGGCUAAUAUCCACGACUGCUGACGGUACCUGAAGAAUAAGCACCGGCUAACUACGUGCCAGCAGCCGCGGUAAUACGUAGGGUGCAAGCGUUAAUCGGAAUUACUGGGCGUAAAGCGUGCGCAGGCGGUUUCGUAAGUCUGUCGUGAAAUCCCCGGGCUUAACCUGGGAAUGGCGAUGGAGACUGCGAGGCUAGAGUUUGGCAGAGGGGGGUAGAAUUCCACGUGUAGCAGUGAAAUGCGUAGAGAUGUGGAGGAACACCGAUGGCGAAGGCAGCCCCCUGGGUCAAAACUGACGCUCAUGCACGAAAGCGUGGGGAGCAAACAGGAUUAGAUACCCUGGUAGUCCACGCCCUAAACGAUGUCUACUAGUUGUUGGGUCUUAAUUGACUUAGUAACGCAGCUAACGCGUGAAGUAGACCGCCUGGGGAGUACGGUCGCAAGAUUAAAACUCAAAGGAAUUGACGGGGACCCGCACAAGCGGUGGAUGAUGUGGAUUAAUUCGAUGCAACGCGAAAAACCUUACCUACCCUUGACAUGGCAGGAAUCCUGAAGAGAUCUGGGAGUGCUCGAAAGAGAACCUGCACACAGGUGCUGCAUGGCUGUCGUCAGCUCGUGUCGUGAGAUGUUGGGUUAAGUCCCGCAACGAGCGCAACCCUUG
rnacentral:rRNA from 1 species